rnacentral:hammerhead_ribozyme from 1 species
GUACUACUGAAGAGUCCCACGAUAGGACGAAGCAGCUGUCCAGUGC